rnacentral:tRNA from 1 species
ACCUGAGUGGCUCAGUUGGUUGAGCAUCUGACUUCAGCUCAGGUCGUGAUCUGCGGUCUGUGAGUUCGAGCCCCGCAUCGGGCU